rnacentral:tRNA from 1 species
ACCUGUGUGGCUUAGUCGGUUGAGUGUCUGACUUCAACUCAGGUCAUGAUCUCACAGUUCAUGAGUUCAAGUCCCAUGUCGGGCU